GUCCUUGUGGCGCAGUGGUUCAGCGCCAGGAAGUCCUUUUUGGAGGACGUAAGUUCGAAUCCUGCCGGGGAUA
rnacentral:tRNA from 1 species